rnacentral:rRNA from 1 species
GCAGUCAGAGGCGAUGAAGGGCGUGCUAAUCUGCGAUAAGCGCCGGUAAGGUGAUAUGAACCGUUAUAACCGGCGAUACCCGAAUGGGGAAACCCAGUGUGAUUCGUCACACUAUCAUUAACUGAAUCCAUAGGUUAAUGAGGCGAACCGGGGGAACUGAAACAUCUAAGUACCCCGAGGAAAAGAAAUCAACCGAGAUUCCCCCAGUAGCGGCGAGCGAACGGGGAGGAGCCCAGAGCCUGAAUCAGCAUGUGUGUUAGUGGAAGCGUCUGGAAAGGCGCGCGAUACAGGGUGACAGCCCCGUACACAAAAGCGCAUGUGCUGUGAGCUCGAUGAGUAGGGCGGGACACGUGGUAUCCUGUCUGAAUAUGGGGGGACCAUCCUCCAAGGCUAAAUACUCCUGACUGACCGAUAGUGAACCAGUACCGUGAGGGAAAGGCGAAAAGAACCCCGGCGAGGGGAGUGAAAAAGAACCUGAAACCGUGUACGUACAAGCAGUGGGAGCNNAUAGGGGAGCCGGAGGGAAACCGAGUCUUAAUUGGGCGUUAAGUUGCAGGGUAUAGACCCGAAACCCGGUGAUCUAGCCAUGGGCAGGUUGAAGGUUGGGUAACACUAACUGGAGGACCGAACCGACUAAUGUUGAAAAAUUAGCGGAUGACCUGUGGCUGGGGGUGAAAGGCCAAUCAAACCGGGAGAUAGCUGGUUCUCCCCGAAAGCUAUUUAGGUAGCGCCUCGUGAAUUCAUCUCCGGGGGUAGAGCACUGUUUCGGCUAGGGGGCCAUCCCGGCUUACCAACCCGAUGCAAACUGCGAAUACCGGAGAAUGUUAUCACGGGAGACACACGGCGGGUGCUAACGUCCGUCGUGAAGAGGGAAACAACCCAGACCGCCAGCUAAGGUCCCAAAGUCAUGGUUAAGUGGGAAACGAUGUGGGAAGGCCCAGACAGCCAGGAUGUUGGCUUAGAAGCAGCCAUCAUUUAAAGAAAGCGUAAUAGCUCACUGGUCGAGUCGGCCUGCGCGGAAGAUGUAACGGGGCUAAACCAUGCACCGAAGCUGCGGCAGCGANNUGCUGGAGGUAUCAGAAGUGCGAAUGCUGACAUAAGUAACGAUAAAGCGGGUGAAAAGCCCGCUCGCCGGAAGACCAAGGGUUCCUGUCCAACGUUAAUCGGGGCAGGGUGAGUCGACCCCUAAGGCGAGGCCGAAAGGCGUAGUCGAUGGGAAACGGGUUAAUAUUCCCGUACUUGGUGUUACUGCGAAGGGGGGACGGAGAAGGCUAUGUUGGCCGGGCGACGGUUGUCCCGGUUUAAGCGUGUAGGUGUGUGUUCCAGGUAAAUCCGGUUCACUUUAACACUGAGGCGUGACGACGAGGCACUACGGUGCUGAAGCAACAAAUGCCCUGCUUCCAGGAAAAGCCUCUAAGCAUCAGGUAACAUCAAAUCGUACCCCAAACCGACACAGGUGGUCAGGUAGAGAAUACCAAGGCGCUUGAGAGAACUCGGGUGAAGGAACUAGGCAAAAUGGUGCCGUAACUUCGGGAGAAGGCACGCUGACACGUAGGUGAAGAGCUUC